UGGUUCUUUAGCUUAGUUGGUUAAGGCCCCCGCUCAUAACGGGGUUAGCGCUGGUUCAAGUCCAGCGAGAACUAU
rnacentral:tRNA from 1 species